rnacentral:rRNA from 1 species
CCGGAAUUGCUAGUAAUGGCAGGUCAGCAUACUGCCGUGAAUACGUUCCCGGGCCUUGUACACACCGCCCGUCACACCAUGAGAGUUGGGAAUACCCGAAGCCUGUGAGCUAACUAAUAGAGGCAGCAGUCGAAGGUAGAAUCAAUGAUUGGGGUGAAGUCGUAACAAGGUACC